AUGGCUCAUCAAUGUCUUAGUGACUUGAGGUCUUUAAAAGAAGAGAUUGAAGUUACGCAUUGUAAACUUAAAGAGGAUUUUGAGCCCCUUGACCUUGACUACAAGAAGGUCAAAGGAGAGCUCAUCAAACUCUCUAAGUCUCAUGAGGAACUUCAAGCUACUCAUGCGGAGUCUCUAGCUUCUACAUGCUCCUCUCAUAUUUAUAAUGAUGCUUGUGCUACUAACUCUAUCUUGUGUGAAGCAUCGAUAUUAAAAGAAAAUGUUGACCUAAGGACUCAACUUGAUUUGCUAACUAGCAACUAUGGGAAAUUGGAAGAAAGUUAUGAAAAGCUCUCGGGCACUCAUGAGGAUCUUAUAAUCUCUCAUGAUGGGCUAAAGUUAGCUCAUAAGGCUAUGUGGACCAAGGUAAAAUCGUGUGAGUCUCAUGUGGAUAUUAGCACAUCUUCUACUCGAAGUGCCUUAUUGCCAUGUGCUAGUCCUUGCAAUUCCUCUCUACAUGAUAUUGGUACAUCUUGUGAUGAAUUGCUCACCAUGCCUUGUUGCUCUAACAAUGAAGUUUCUACUUCCUCUAGUUCUUUUGUUAAUACUAACCUUGUAGAGGAAAAUAAAGAGCUCAAGGCCCAAGUCACCAGUUUGAAGAAAGACUUGGAAAAAUAUUGUGAUAAUAUCUUGAGUGUGCAAAAGGACCCUCAAGACAAAAUUGGACUUGAUUUCAUCUCCAACAAGAAGAAGUCCAAGAACAAGAAGAAGGGACGAGAUCAAGUCAAGAAUUCGGCCAACAUUAUUUGCUUCAAGUGCAAGAAUGUUGGACACCAUGUGAGAUCUUGUCCAUUGAAGAAGAAGGCUUCAAGUGUGAAGCAUCAAGGGAAGUGGCCUCAAGUUCAAUAUCAAGAUAAUAAAAGGCCUCUUCCCAUGCCUAACCAAGAUAAUGCUCUCCAAGUUGAAAAGGUAAAGAAGAAGAGAAAGGGGAGCACAUGUUGCUAUAUUUGCCGUUAG
rnacentral:rRNA from 1 species